UCGAAUGCUUUUAAAAUGCAGUUUGGUAGGAUUUAAUUUGCCCCAUGUUUGUUCUGACAGGUGUCGACUUGAAAACCCAUAUUAUACGUUUAUAGCCAACCAAACAUAAAGAGUCACAUAAACGAUAUUAAAGCAUUACAUAAACAAGUCGAAAUUUUUAAUUUUGAAAUACUGUUGUCAAUUGACUUAAUUCGGGGUUUUGCAUUGCAAAAAAUCCGUGUUGUUGUUUUCCUCUUGCCCUUUUCCGAAGUCUUCCGACUGUAGCCGAAGUCUUCUGCUCGCGCCUCGGUCGCUUCGCUUCUCGCUGACCAAUUUGUCGUCAUCGCAAUUAUGGUGGACAUUAUGGUGUUAAUGUUCUUUGCCAUCAUGGGCCUAGUCUUCCUGUCCUACAUCAUUUACAUGCUGUGAGGAUGAUGGCGGUUCCGUGGAGGACGACGAAAAGGAACAAGAGGAGGAGGCGCCCUUGCUUUGCAUCUGGGAUGCCUCCAUCCCGGACGAGGGUGACGUCUGAAGCAAUUGGACCUCUUCGUCUGUAUCAGUGAUGACAACCAGUGGGAGGACCAUGAAGGCCUCUCCAUGCAGAAGCUGACAGAUGGACUCUCCCGAAUGAUUGAAUUAGUUAGUCCAUGAUGUUUUUGUGGCGAAUCAACACAAUACUGGUUGGAAACCUCUCGGUCAAGCAUAUACGGUGGUUUAAAACUCACUUAUCAUAUUAUCAGUUUCACCCACGCAUGAAGACUCACCCUUCAGUUACCACCAAAGCUUAUUUGUUAUCAUGAUACUACUAAUCAGCGAUUUUGUGUUCAAUAAAGAUGAUUCUAAUGAAAA